rnacentral:lncRNA from 1 species
GCACACUAUACCCAGCUGUAUUGAUUUAUUGGGAAUUUUCUGUACCUAUUGUCAUUCUGAAAUCCUGAAAAUGUCAGGGUUUCUAGAAAUAUGGGGAAAGUAGUCUUUGCAGAGUGUGCGGAAGAAGAGUUUUUUAUUUAAAAACUCCAUACAUGCUGAUAACCAUUCCUCCUGGAAGACUAAGCAUGAGAAUCUGUUCCUAAGCUGUGGUCCUGCUUAACAGACAUGUUCCUCUCCUGCAUCUACAGGUAAAUAAUACAAUAAAAUUUUUCCAUCAUCCAUGCUGAGAAUUCUUCAGAGAAACACAGAAAAAGAAGAGAGAAAAUGAAUGGCUAAUCAAAACCACUCAGCUUAUUACUCCAUUUAGUCAGUGAGUAUUUUUUUUUUUUUACUAAAUGUUUCCCCACUUUUAAAAAUGCCUAUUUGGUUAUUUUCUUCUACUUGAAAGAAAAAGUGGCAGUAGAAGUAAGAAGAUCUUCCAUCUACUGGUUCAUUCCCCAACUGCUUGCAACUGUUAGGACUGGCCAGGCUGAAGCCAAAAACCUGAAACUCCAUCAAGGUCUCUCAAGUGUGUUAUUCUUAAGUGUGUAAGGACCCCAAGCACUUGAGUUUUCCUCUGCAGAUUUCCAGGAUACAUUAGCAAGAAGCUGUGUUGGAAACAAAUUAGCCAAGUGUUAAACUGGCACUGCUAUGGGUUUGAUUCAGGCAUCCCAAACACUGGUGUACCAUAGUACACCACCCCAUUUAGUGAAAACACUAAAGAUUGUAGGACCACAUGAUUGAAAAUGGGGAAAUAUAUUGGUGUCAUUUUUUAUGUUACUAUAUCAAGAGAAAAAAUGUUUUAGUCAUAAAUAAAUACAUUUUACUGAUAUGUUAAAAUCAUAGGCCACUAGGACACGAAGAAACUUCAUUGCUUUUGCAUGAGCAUUACAAACAAACAUAUAUGUUCAAUUGAUGUGUUUUUUUCUCAUUCCAGUUGUCCAGUGGAUGAUUUGGUUGUGAAAAACCAGGAGUGUCAAGACAUGAAUCUGAGAUUUACAGAACAUCUUUCUUGUGAAGACUGUUGCUUGUCCAGUGGGUCCAAAUGGCUGCUUCAUGAUGUGAAUCUUGUCAUGCUGACUAAGAGGCUCACAGAACUGGAGAGAUUUUCCAGGUAUCUUAGUGUUAUCAAAUUUCUCUCCAGCCUGUAGUUGAUCAGGCCCACUGGGGGGAUACACAGUGUGACAUUUAUUGCAUUCCUCAGGCUUCAGUCCUGAAUAGAUUCCCUUUUUAAUAAUCAGUGUUGGAACAUGGAUUGAAUUUAAACUAAGUGUUUUUCUUAAUUCUAUUCUCUUGAGUGCUGAUGUCUUGUUAUUUUUCAUAAAAUCCUGAUUCAGAUUUUUGUCCUGACUUUCCUGGUUGAUCCUAAUCAGGUCAUCCCUUUUCAUGACCACUGAAAUGAGAAAAAGCAAUCAUGUCACUGAAUCACAUGUAACUGUUUCUCCUGGCAUACUCAUGUAAAGGGAAUGAAGGUACUUGUUAUCCAAGUGGCAUAAGAUUUUCACAAAAUCAGUAUGAGGUACUUAUUUGUGACCAUUAUAUGGUUUUUCUCCUUAAUACAUUAAUAUACCAUGAGGUUUCCCAAUGUUCAAACAUGAUCCUUUUUACUAUGGGAAAUUGUCAAGGAUGGUAGAAUGACAUUUGUGCUAUGGUGUGUGGGAUGCCUGCAUCUCAAAACAGUGUCAGUUUGAGCCCUGGCUACUCUGCUUUUAGUACAGCUCUCUGCCUAUGUAAACUGGAAGGAACCAAAUAAUGGUUCAUGUGCCUGGGAACCUGUGAGAAACCAGGGAAGACUAGAGGAAUUCUAGAGCUUUGGCUUCAGACUAGUUAGACCUAAGUGUUGCAGGCAUCUGGGAAGUGAGCUAAUACAGGACUUCUUUCUCUCUCUCUCUUCUCUCACUAUCACUCUGCUUUUCACAAAGAUGAAAUAACUAUAAAAUAUUUUAAAGAAUGGACAAAUAUUUAAUAAAAAUAUUCACCCACUACCUAGCA